rnacentral:rRNA from 1 species
AUUGAACGCUGGCGGCAUGCCUUACACAUGCAAGUCGAACGGUAACAGGUCUUCGGAUGCUGACGAGUGGCGAACGGGUGAGUAAUACAUCGGAACGUGCCUAGUAGUGGGGGAUAACUACUCGAAAGAGUGGCUAAUACCGCAUGAGAUCUACGGAUGAAAGCAGGGGAUCGCAAGACCUUGUGCCACUAGAGCGGCCGAUGGCAGAUUAGGUAGUUGGUGGGAUAAAAGCUUACCAAGCCGACGAGCUGCAGCUGGUCUGAGAGGACGAUCAGCCACACUGGGACUGAGACACGGCCCAGACUCCUACGGGAGGCAGCAGUGGGGAAUUUUGGACAAUGGGCGCAAGCCUGAUCCAGCAAUGCCGCGUGCAGGAUGAAGGCCUUCGGGUUGUAAACUGCUUUUGUACGGAACGAAAAGCCCUGGGUUAAUACCCUGGGGUCAUGACGGUACCGUAAGAAUAAGCACCGGCUAACUACGUGCCAGCCGCCGCCGUAACAC